rnacentral:rRNA from 1 species
AAUGAUGGGAAUUUAAACCUCUUCCAGAGUAUCAAUUGGAGGGCAAGUCUGGUGCCAGCAGCCGCGGUAAUUCCAGCUCCAAUAGCGUAUAUUAAACUUGUUGCAGUUAAAAAGCUCGUAGUUGAAUUUCUGCUGCAUCGUGGUUCUUCGCUAUGUCGAGUGGGCCUCGUUGUGGCUUAGUUGGGGCAUGUUUUCAUGACUCGACGUUUACUUUGAGAAAAUUAGAGUGCUCAAGCAGGCUUUUGCCUU